rnacentral:rRNA from 1 species
GUGGGGAAUCUUGCGCAAUGGGCGAAAGCCUGACGCAGCCAUGCCGCGUGGAUGAUGAAGGUCUUAGGAUUGUAAAAUCCUUUCACCGGUGAAGAUAAUGACUGUAGCCGGAGAAGAAGCCCCGGCUAACUUCGUGCCAGCAGCCGCGGUAAUACGAAGGGGGCUAGCGUUGCUCGGAUUUACUGGGCGUAAAGGGCGCGUAGGCGGACAUUUAAGUCAGGGGUGAAAUCCCGGGGCUCAACCUCGGAACUGCCUUUGAUACUGGGUGUCUUGAGUAUGAGAGAGGUGUGGGGAACUCCGAGUGUAGAGGUGAAAUUCGUAGAUAUUCGGAGGAACACCAGUGGCGAAGGCGGCUCACUGGCUCGAUACUGACGCUGAGGUGCGAAAGCGUGGGGAGCAAACAGGAUUAGAUACCCGGGUAGUCC